AAGUUAAGAAACCCAAGGAAAAGCUUCUAACUUUGCUCUUAAGCGGUGAAACUCCGUUUUUAACUUU
rnacentral:tRNA from 1 species